UACGGAGGAUCCAAGCGUUAUCCGGAUUUAUUGGGUUUAAAGGGUGCGUAGGCGGAUUGAUAAGUUAGAGGUGAAAUGUCCGAGCUCAACUCGGGAACUGCCUCUAAUACUGUUGAUCUAGAGAGUAGAUGCGGUAGGCGGAAUGUAUGGUGUAGCGGUGAAGUGCUUAGAGAUCAUACAGAACACCGAUUGCGAAGGCAGCUUACCAAUCUAUAUCUGACGUUGAGGCACGAAAGCGUGGGGAGCAAACAGG
rnacentral:rRNA from 1 species